UCCUCAAAACUAAUCUGUGAUGAAUAUGAAUAGCUUCCUAUUUGGCUACUUUCUACACACUCAAUUCCUUCAAAACUAUAUUGUUAUUCAAGAGUUGACAAUCAUGAAUGUUACUCCUAAUUUUUUCUUUCUGGUAUUGAAUUAUUUUCUACAUGCCAAGACAAGUCCUGAAGAAAGAGAGGAAAGAAGCCAAAGGUUUUUCUCCUUUAAUGACAUUUAUAACAAUAUAUUGAUGAGAUUUUAAAAUAAAUAAAAUUUUUAUUAGUUGUCUUACAGAUAUCUCAUUUGCUAAUCUUUUUUUCUUGUUGAAUUAAUGUCAGUAGUCAAAUGUCUUGCUGAAUUCUUGAUACACUUUUAAGCUGUGCUUUUUUGUGCUCUUCAUAGCAAUUGCUGGGAAUAAUUAAUUACAUUAGAACGCUGAAUGCUUGUUUUGGAUACUUAUUCAAGCAGCUGGAUUUGUUGGGUGAUGUGAGAGGAGUGAUUAGGUCAAUUUUUUAGUAGAGGAAAGAGGGAAAGAAAAGUAGAAUUCAACUUUAAAACUAACUAUUUUCUUCUCUUUCAUCUUUCCUUUUGUUGCUUGCCUUUUGCUGCUUCAGCUUUUCUGGUCAUUCUCCUCCAUCUGCUUCUGGAAACUCAUGGAAGACCUAUCUUAAAUUUUGGUUUUUAUGAACAAAAUAAUAGAUACUGAUAAUAGUAUUACUUAUCAGAAUAUAGGACUGUGAGGAAUUAACUUUAAUAAUUGAGUCUAGUCCUCUGUAAAGGGGAACCUAGAUGAUAGACAUUUGCUCCAAGAGGAUAUGCAAGAGUUCAAUUCACAAUGUCCACAGAGUUCUGAUUAAUAACUUUCAGCCUUAUAGAAAACAGCAGUGGGGCAGCUGUAAUAUGCCGUGGAAAACAGUGAGGAACUGGAAUCUUGGUUGAUGUCCUAGAUCCCUACAACAACAAGGGAUUUGCUAGAUGGAUUUCCCAGAUGGUUUCUAGCAGCAUCUUAUUCCCCGCAGAAUGGGGAGUGAAAAAGAACAACUGCCAAUAAUCCCUAUCAGUCUGCUUGAGGUUUUGUCUGCCAUAUGUUUCAUCAAAACAUCCUGCUUUGUAUUUCAUCUCUAACAGUGACUGAUUUUGAAUACUUGAAAAAAGCAAUUAAAAAAACAGCAUCUACAUUAAUUAUUGGGGCAGGGAGGAGAUAGUGCUGUAGGUAGGCAUUGAAAGCUGUGAAAUGUUUGUUAUGUUUAUUAAACACAGUCAAAAGAUAGCAAUCAAAAAAUUUUGCAAAAUGUGUGUAAAGAAUAAGACAUUGACAGUUACAAAAAUUACAGAAUGGUAUUGCACUAUCAGUAAAAGAUCCUGGACAACUGUGUAAAUAGUCAACAUUUGUGUUUCACUGGGAACUGAUGAAAGGGUAUAAAAAUAUACAGCCAAAGGUAGGAAUCUGUAACUGAUGUAAGUUUCCAUUUCACCCAUGUAAGUGUGGCAUGCCAUGAAACAUUUUAAUACUGGAUGAAUUCCAUAUGCAUCUCUAGAGUUUCCCUAAGCUACUGCUUCUUGGAGCUCACAGUGUUUCUAUGAAAUACUGCAGCUGUUGCUUGGAUCUUGGUGUGGUACAACUGAAUAUUUCCCAUAUAGAAGCUUCGUCUCAUCAGCUGCUUUGGUCAGAUUGUCAUUUUCAGUGUCCCUUCAAACCUAUUCUGUCUGUGUAUUCCAACUCUUCUCAUCAUGAAUAUGCCUUAAGCUAUCCCCAGAUGUGAUAGGAAAUUGUACAUGCUGUUUUCUUCAUAUACAUGCACACACACACAAUAUAUAUAUACAUAUAUAUAUAUUCAUAUAUUUUUCUCUUUGUCUGAUGAGAACAGUCAUAUCCAAUGGCCAUGAACCAAAGUAUGGAACCAUACUGAUGAACCAGGAGCAUACAAAGAGCUCAUGUUGUUAAGGUACCUGCAGUAUAAACAUAAACUUUGUCUAGCAGACAAAAGUGGGAUUGUUUUUCAUGUGUGUUUUAAUUAAUAUUGGGAUGAAAUCAAUUAAUAUUGGGGUGUAUCUUGCUUCUGACUCCAUUUUAUAUUUUGGUAGAGGUCAUGGAUUAAUGUGUUUCCUCCUCUUGUGUUUCCCAUGGCAUUUGGGAAUUGUCUGACUCCACCAGGAAGAUCCCUUGCAGAACUAUUCAGAAUUUCUUCCCUGUACCUUCUACCAUUGAGCUCCUGGGCUGCCCUCUCAGGAUUAGUAAAAGAAAAACAGGGAAAGAUGGAGCCCCGUGGGACUGGACCUGUUUCAAAAGCUGUAUUAAAUGACUGAAAUAAAGGUUUUGAAAAUUCCUGU